rnacentral:rRNA from 1 species
AUCAUUACAAGAACGCCCGGGCUUCGGCCUGGUUAUUCAUAACCCUUUGUUGUCCGACUCUGUUGCCUCCGGGGCGACCCUGCCUUCGGGCGGGGGCUCCGGGUGGACACUUCAAACUCUUGCGUAACUUUGCAGUCUGAGUAAACUUAAUUAAUAAAUUAAAACUUUUAACAACGGAUCUCUUGGUUCUGGCAUCGAUGAAGAACGCAGCGAAAUGCGAUAAGUAAUGUGAAUUGCAGAAUUCAGUGAAUCAUCGAAUCUUUGAACGCACAUUGCGCCCCCUGGUAUUCCGGGGGGCAUGCCUGUUCGAGCGUCAUUUCACCACUCAAGCCUCGCUUGGUAUUGGGCAACGCGGUCCGCCGCGUGCCUCAAAUCGUCCGGCCGGGUCUUCUGUCCCCUAAGCGUUGUGGAAACUAUUCGCUAAAGGGUGUUCGGGAGGCUACGCCGUAAAACAACCCCAUUUCUAAGGUUGACCUCGGAUCAGGUAGGGAUACCCGCUGAACUUAAGCAUAUCAAUAAGCGGAGGA